UAUCCAUUUCCAAACUUCCACGCCCAACCAUGGCCAUAACCACACCACCCUUCCGUCCUCUUCCCGCCUCUUUCGAAUUCCAAAAACCAAACCCUUCUAUAAAAUCCCGCCAUCGCAAAACCCUAGCCUUUUUCAGAAACCCCGCCAGCCAAUCUCUCCUCGCCAAAGACGAUCUUCUCUCUCUCAUUUCAGACCAGGAAAGAGGCAUCAAAACCCAGAGCGAUUCAUCCAAACGAUCCAAAAUCAUCCAAGCCAUCGACGCUCUGGCCGUCAUCGGCAAGGACGCGAUCACGACGGAUGCUUCGUCACUCUCCGCCACGUGGCGGAUGCUCUGGACGACUGAAAAGGAGCAGCUCUUCAUCAUCAAGAAUGCCCAUCUCUUUGGAACCCAGACCGGCGACGUGUUGCAGGUCAUUGAUGUUGAAAGGGGUACCCUUAACAACGUAAUUACAUUCCCGCCAUCCGGCGUCUUCUUUGUGCGGUCUACCAUCGAAGUCGCUCCACCACAGAGAGUGAAUUUCAAAUUUACAAGUGCAGUUUUAAGAGGGAAAGAUUGGGAAUUUCCUUUGCCGCCUUUUGGACAAGGGUGGUUUGAAUCCAUGUACCUUGAUGAUGAUAUUCGAGUUGUAAAGGAUAUCCGCGGAGAUUAUUUAGUUGUUGACCGUGCUCCAUAUAGUUGGACAGAAUGAUACAUGGAUGUUCAGGAUUAUCUUGUCACUAUUUGUAUGCCGUUGAUGGGCAAUUGACCCAUCUCGAUCCAGCACACUUGAUGUGGAAAUGACUAAGUAUAUUUAGGGUAAAAUAAAAUAAAGAUUGGACAAUUUUCAGUUGAAAAUUUUGGGUUUGAUUUUAAGAUGGGCACAGGAAAAAGGGUCCAGGCCUGGGCUUUCAUAAUAAAGAUAAUCACAAAGCAAGAUGUGAAUAAAGGAGCAACAGUUAACCCUCUAGCAUUUGGCUUUGUUGAUGUAAAUGCUAUAAACAUAAACAGGGUCAAAUCCACUAUCUCAUGGUUGCAUCAUUCAACAUGUCCAGUUGCUAUGGCCUCAAUCCUAUAUUCCUUGGAACUGUUAUGAAAUUCACGGCUUCCUCUGUCUAUGUUCUUUCCCUUGGAGCUUCAAGAAUGACCAUUCUGUAAAUGUAUCUUAAAUUCUUUAUAGAAAAUUUGUAUAAAACAUUGUAAAUUAGAUAUAUUUUUAAGGUGUUGUUUUGGGGCUGCAUUUUGUCACAAGCAAUUAUCAAUUGCCUUCUCCACCA